AAGAGACAGCAGCCGCCACGGUAAUACAGAGGGUGCGAGCGUUAAUCGGAUUUACUGGGCGUAAAGCGUGCGUAGGCGGCUAAUUGAGUUGGAUGUGAAAUCCCCGAGCUUAACUUGGGAAUUGCAUUCGAUACUGGUUAGCUAGAGUGUGGGAGAGGAUGGUAGAAUUCCAGGUGUAGCGGUGAAAUGCGUAGAGAUCUGGAGGAAUACCGAUGGCGAAGGCAGCCAUCUGGCCUAACACUGACGCUGAGGUACGAAAGCAUGGGGAGCAAACAGGAUUAGAUACCCGCGUAGUCCCUGUCUCUUAUAC
rnacentral:rRNA from 1 species